UACAGAGGUCUCAAGCGUUGUUCGGAUUCCUUGGGCGUAAAGGGUGCGUAGGUGGCGAGGUAAGUCAGGUGUGAAAUCUCGGAGCUCAACUCCGAAACUGCACUUGAUACUGCCCUGCUGGAGUACUGGAGAGGAGAUUGGAAUUUACGGUGUAGCAGUGAAAUGCGUAGAUAUCGUAAGGAAGACCAGUGGCGAAGGCGGCUCACUGGCCCGGUACUGACGCUCAUGUGCGAAAGCGUGGGGAGCAAACAGG
rnacentral:rRNA from 1 species